CCCCUCAGCAAUGGGCCAAGAGACACCUUGUGGUAGUUGGUGAUCUUGUAUCAGUCAGGGGUGGAGCAGAUGGCAGUCCUUGGUCCAUCCUAGCUUGAUGCCUGCCUUGGUGGCCAAAACUGUUCUAUGUCUAGGACUCAUAA